AAUCAGAGGUCAUAGGCAGAUUUGAACAGGUGUGUCUUGAGUCUGGAUUUGAAGAGGGUGAAACUGUCAAUAUUUCUGAUGUCUGGGGGGAGUGAGCUCCAGAGACUGGGAGCAGAGCGGCUGAAAGCUCUGCUCCCCGUGGUAGUGAGACGGCCAGGAGGAACAGCAAGAUGGAGGGAGGAAGACGAUUUGAGGGAAAGGGACGGGUGGUAAUACUUAAAAGGUCUGAAAUACAUGGAGGAGAGAGAUUGUGGAUGGCUUUGAAGGUAUGGAGGAGAAUCUUGAAGAUGGACCUGAAUUUAACUGGAAGCCAGUGAAGCUGCUGGAGAACCGGGGCGAUGUGGUGAAAGGAAGGGGUUCUGGUGAUGAUAUGGGCUGCUGAGUUUUGGACCGGUUAAAGUUCAUGAAGGAGUUUGUAAGGGAGACCAAAAAGAAGUGAAUUGCAGUAAUCGAGACGGGAGGUGACGAGACUGUGGACAAGAAUGGCGGCAGUGUGAUGGGUAAUGGAGACGGUUUAUGGAUCGAAGAUGGAAAUAGGCUGACCGAAUUAUGUCAUUGAUGUGAGCAUGAAAAGAAAGUGAGCUGUUGAGGAUGACACCUAGACUCUUAACCUGAGGGGAGGGGGAGACUGUGGCACUGUCAAUAGUUAAAGAAAAGCUGUCAGAUUUAGAGAUGGUGGAUUUGGUACUGUAAUGUCCAUAAAUGGUCAGUGUUUCAUGUACAGUUUGACACCUUCAGUAUCUGAGAAUAUGGAGACAGGAGUCUACAUGUGUUGCCUUUAAUCUGCCGGAUCCUGCCAUUCCAUCAGCUGGAGUCCGGGCCUCUCUGCAGCUCGGAACACGUGAUAACAUGUUGUCAACAAACCGUUCCCUUCUCAAGGUCCUUCUGUGCCAAGCAGUGGCGGCUGGCCAGUAGAGGGCGAUAGGGCGCCGCCCUCCCAGUUUUUCCAUGUUUUUAAUAUUUAUUUUAAAAAAUAAAUAAAUAAAAUUAACAAUAAUCACAUAUUCUAAGUUAAUUGUGUGUUUUGUAACAAAAAUAAAUCAUAUAUAUAUAUCUAUAUUGGUCUCUGCCGGUCUCUGCCGAGCCUCUGCCGAGCUCUGCCGAGCGGUGGAGGCUGUGUGCUGUUUUUCAAUCGCCCAAACAGGACGAGACCAGCUGUCCAAUUGCUGACAAGAAUAUCAAAGGGCAGGAAUGGGAAUGUAUCCAAUCAGCGUCGACGUUGUUUCAGAACGUUUCAGAAGCAUGAUGGGCGAUGGAGCUACCGCCAAAGGAUUCGUUGGUGUUCGGUAGAACUCGGCAGAGUCGUUUUUGGUCGUGACGCAGAUGUAACAUGGACGCCACCGGUGACUACAACCAGCAUGGAUACCGGAUCUCAGCAGCCACUGAAUUCAGUUCGGUCUCUUCUCCAGCAUCCGUUCGAGAGGAGAACUAUGGUGGAAAAACUUAAUGUCAAAGAGCUUGGACCAGAUCAGCCCGACGUAAAGAUAAGCCAGCAGGAGAAGGAGAGAGAUAAGGCAUGGAUGAGUCAGGAGUUACAGACAUGAAACAUUUUUCUGAGAAGGUGAAGAAACACGAGUCAUCCCGGGCACACAUGGACAACAACACGGUGAAGCUAGCCAUGCUAGGCAGCAGAGCUAACGUUGCCAAGCAGGGAACAACAGCAGCUGGGUGCAGAGGUUUUUCACACCAUCCUGAGCCAUGCAAAAGAAGGUUCUUGUCACCACACCCAUGACCACAGCCGAAUCAGAAAGGUGCUUUUCUACUUUAAAGAGGAUUAAGACUUUCCUUGAGGAACACCAUGACACAGGAUGGGCUGAAUGCUCUUGCCAUGCUCUCCAUGGAAAAAAAAGCUUGUCACAAACAUUCCUGACUUCAAUAAAAAGCUAAUCGAGAGCUUUGCCACUCAGAAGGACAGAAGGGCAAAAUUUCUGUACAAAUGAGGUAUCACACACACACACACAUGCAUCCACUUGAUCUUUGUAUAAAGUUGACCUUGGCACAACACUCCAGAAAUAUUAGUGUAAAUUUCUGGCAUUUUGUCUAAGUAGUGUUUACUACCAUUACUGUAACAGUGACCUGCUCAUAAUUUUUGGUGUUCACUCAAAUGUUGAAACUAAACAAAAUGUUUUUGUUACUUGCCUCUUGCAUUGCCUAUUUACCAUUUAUGGUCGUGUUAUUUUAUGUGCAAUUUAAUGCAGUAUUUUUCAACCUUGGUCCGCAAGCCAGCGUGCCAAUAGUCAGACACACCUGGAUUAAUCAGUUUGUCCAAUGAUGUAAGACAGGAAAUAAAAGAGCUGUGCUUAAUUCAGGAAAUAGUGAAGUUGUGCACAAAGCUCAGAAAGCACAAGUUUGUUUAAAAAUAAAAAAAUAGCACAGCCCCACCAAAAAUAUUUUUCACCAGCCGCCACUGGAAGCCUGUCUGCCUAUCUAGGCCGGACUGGACUGUUCUAAGAGUGACUGUUUUCAGCUCAAAUGAGUUAAUCAUUCGUGAAAUAAUAAUAAUAAUAAUAAUGUUUUGAUUAAUCUGUGCUUGAACUACUGAUAGUUUGAAAUGAAAUGAAUUAUCACAUUGAAUGAUUUAUAUAUAUGGUAAUCAGUAAUGUUUGAUAUGACAAGGCAAUCAUCACCUACACUCACAAGGUUCAUUAGAGAUAAAUUAAAGUUAAGUUAAACUCAUGACUAGGGAUGGGUACCUUUGACAUUUGAAUCGAUCCGGUACUAAUUCCCGGUACCUACGAAUCGAUACCGGUACUUAACGGUACCAAUUUUCGUUACUUUUGAGUGUUUAAUAUUUUAAUUCUCUUUUAUAAUUAAAUAUAUAUUUUUCUCAAUAUAUAACAAUAUUUGACAAAUAUCAUGAUAAAUAACAUACAACUGUUUGUAUUUUAACAUCGUCCUUGUAGUUUUAUAAGCUGAUAAUUAAACUGAAGCAAACAUCUUUACUGUGAACUAAAUUUACUUUGUAUCUUCAUUCCUUUUGCCGUCCUUUUUCAUUUGAUUUUUUCUACUGGGAAGAUAGAAUUUCCGAGGGGAAAGCGAACGCACCAUUAGCUGAUAACAACGGUGGCAAUGGAAGCUAACUUAUCAAGCUAACGUUAUCUUAAACAGUUUAUUUAACUGCUGGAGCAGAUUAAAACGAUGAUGCAGCACACUUAGAUCGUCGCUGGUUUCGUCUUCACCCAAUCACCCGUCGCAUUUAGUAAAGUGAAGCCAAACUUUAGAGCGCGUUCAUGUUCUUCUAGUCGGAAAUUCGGAGUUCCGAGGAGAAAGCGAACGCACCAUUAGCGAAACGGAAGCUAACAUAUCAAGGUAACGUUAUCUUAAACAUUUUAUUUACCUACCGGAGUAGAUUAAGAUGAGGAUGUCUCACUUAGAUCGUUGUCUGUCAUUGGUUUCAUCACCCAGUUACCCAUCACAUUUAGUGAAGUGGACCCAAGCGUUAGCGUGCGUUCUUUCUACCAUGCUGCUCUGUUUACAACUUGCUCGCAGGGACCGACGACAUAACGCUCUUGCACAUGCGCAGCUGUCUUGGCAAGCUCUCGUUAUGAAGGAUGGGUACCGAAACAAGGCACCGUUUGAAAAGACGUGAAUCGGUGCUCGGUCGGUACUAUGGAAUUCGGUCGGUACCUUAAAAAGUACCGAAUUCGGUACCCAUCCCUACUCAUGACACAUAAAUAUUUCUUUACCCCAAAUCAGAGCAUCCGGUAUCUGAAAGAAGGCGUGAUGUUCUGAGGUUCUUGGUAAUAUCCCUUAACACGGCACAUUCCGAUUGGACAAGAAUUCAUAAUAUGAGAAUAUUAAAACAGAGCUCACUUCACGGUGAGUUAGUUCAAGAGAAAGCUAAGGAACGGCCAUCCGGUGCGAAACCUCUUUAACCCAGAGGAUUUUUGACAAGCUGUCAAAGCCUUGCUAAAAGCUGCCUACUGCUGACACAGCACACGGUUCCUGCAGAACAAGCUGAUGCUGUUCCGACUCCCUAAGAGUCCUUCUAGACACAAACGAUUCCAUCCAUCUGUUGUGACCCGGAAACAUCUCUGGACUGGAGAGUCGGUGCUGCGGUUAUUCUACAAACCUCGGUGCCCAGAGUUCAUCCGACCUCCCUGACCUUCGGAUCCGCGAAGAGGGUCUUCCAAAGGGUGAGGUAGACACAGCAUGAAUCGCGUCUGAUGUGGCUUUGAUAAGAAUCAACUUCCUAGUUGAUGCAAGCCAAAUUCUUCCUUUUUGCACCCAGAACUCCGCUCUUCUAGAUACGAAAGUUCUGAUAACCUCACAUUCACACAGUCACCAUACAUCCCAUCCCAUCCACCUAGAUCCAUCCAUCCACAGUAAUCUUAGUUAACUUGUCGUGUUUUUAAUUGUUUGGAAAAUAAAUUCUUACUUUUAUAAACCUGA